AACGAACGCUGGCGGCGUGUUUAAGACAUGCAAGUCGCACGGGAUAAGACAUGUAGUAAUACUUGUUUUAUUUAGUGGCGCACGGGUGAGUAACACGUGAAUUACAUGCCCUAUAGUGGGGAAUAGCCCAGGGAAACUGGGAUUAAUACCCCAAGGUAUGGAACGAUUAAAGGUGGACGGAAGGCUGUCGCUAUAGGAUUGGUUCGCGCCCUAUCAGCUUGGUGGUGGGGUAACGGCUCACUAAGGCAAGGACGGGUACCUGGUCUGAGAGGACGAUCAGGCACACUGGACCUGAGACACGGUCCAGACACCUACGGGUGGCAGCAGUCGAGAAUAAUUCACAAUGGGGGCAACCCUGAUGGUGCAACGCCGCGUGGAGGAUGACGGUCUUCGGAUUGUAAACUCCUGUCAUCUGGGAGAAAGACCUGACGGUAAAUAGCCGGCAGGGUUGAUAGUACCAGAAGAGGAAGGGACGGCUAACUUCGUGCCAGCCGCCGCCGUAA
rnacentral:rRNA from 1 species